rnacentral:rRNA from 1 species
CCUACGGGAGGCAGCAGUCGAGAAUCAUUCACAAUGGGGGAAACCCUGAUGGGGCGACGCCGCGUGGGGGAAUGAAGGUCUGCGGAUUGUAAACCCCUGUCAUGUGGGAGCAAAUUAAAAAGAUAGUACCACAAGAGGAAGAGACGGCUAACUCUGUGCCAGCAGCCGCGGUAAUACAGAGGGCUCAAGCGUUGUUCGGAAUCACUGGGCGUAAAGCGUGCGUAGGCUGUUUCGUAAGUCGUGUGUGAAAGGCGCGGGCUCAACCCGCGGACGGCACAUGAUACUGCGAGACUAGAGUAAUGGAGGGGGAACCGGAAUUCUCGGUGUAGCAGUGAAAUGCGUAGAUAUCGAGAGGAACACUCGUGGCGAAGGCGGGUUCCUGGACAUUAACUGACGCUGAGGCACGAAGGCCAGGGGAGCGAAAAGGAUUAGAUACCCCGGUAGUC